CUGCGGCGACACGAAUCAACUACACACGAAUUUGGGACAAGAAUGGAUGUAGCUUUAAAAAGCCCCGAAAAAUGCCAUUUUUUUGGAUCAUUCGACGAAACACGUGGUAGUGAAGAACUUCCAACAACCUUCCAUGUGAGUGUGACGUCACACCCGUUCCACGACGCCGAGGAGAGAGGUCAAUUUGACAAAAGUGAACAGAACUUAGUAACGCAGCUCUUUCCAGAAUUUUUCAUCCGACAUAGCUCAUCGGAUGGUGCCCCUGAAAGUUGGAAGAUCGUAAUGUGUGGUAACCGGAGACUGGACUACAGACGUAACGACCCACUUAUCCAGUCCUGGCUCAACAUGUACGGCUGUAACCAUUAAGGAGGGUUUGCGACCCAACUGGCUGUUCAGUAAGACAAUCAUGAACUAUGAUAAACAAUGACACGAAAAACUGAUGACAAAAAAUGUUUUUUAGCAAAUAAAUGAGAGGUAAGAUAAAGAACAAAUAUACCGUCAGCGGAGUGCUUUUUUGCAUGGUAAAAUGGAAUUUCCGAAGAAAAUUUGUAAGGAGAUCUCCAUAGGAAAACGUAGAUUGCGAUGUACUCGAACUGUUUAACGACCGAAACUUUCACUUUCCAGAACUUUCGGUUUUUAUAGCAAGGCUUUUUUUUUAUAAACACAGCAGUCUGAAUAAUUAGCUCAAAUUAAACUUGAAAGAAAUGGAAGAUAAAGGAGAUAUGGUGCAUCUUUGGAAGUUGUAAUAUCAAAUAAUGUUGUAAAUAAAAGGAUUUGUAUGCUGGA